CACUGCUCUGAGCUCCCCCCCUCCCGCUGCAGGGCGGACCAGUUCGAGUACGUGAUGUACGGCAAGGUGUACCGCAUCGAGGGGGACGAGACCUCCAUGGAGGCAGCCACGCGCCUCUCUGCCUACGCCUCCUACGGGGGGCUGCUGAUGCGGCUGCAGGGAGACGCCAACAACCUGCACGGCUUCGAGGUGGAUUCCCGCGUCUACCUGCUGAUGAAGAAGCUGGCCUUCUAGGAGAGGCCGCGCCUCGAGGCUUCCCAGAGACAUUCUGCCAGCAAGAAAACGGGAGCCCCAGCACCCCAAAUCCUGCCCCGGUAUCUGUGCUUCCCGGGUGGGUGCAGGAGGAGGUGUUCUCCUUCCUCACCUUGUUGUUUUUUUGUUUUUUUUUUUAUGCCUCCUGGGAUUUGUGGUCCCCUCCCGCGCAGGGAGAGGUGCCUGAUGCUGAGCAGAGACCACGCUGGGCGCCCCGCGGCCCUGCCUGCUGGUGGUCUCCUCUCACCUCCCUCUUCCUGCGCGUCCCAGGUGGGCUCAGCCCCGGCUGUGCUCAGGGAUCUGGCUGCAUUGGGGCUGGCCGUCAUUUCAGAGCCAUCCCGUGACGGGCCUGGCUCGUUCUUGAUUAAACCAGCACGCGUUUUCUAGGGCUGGCUGAGUUGUGAGGCUGAUGGGGAGCGGGCGGUGCGCCCCCACAGGGACCCCGAGCACUUCCAGAGGGUGACGGGGGGGGGCGCCGGGAUGGCCCCAGAGGCUGCCGUGCUGCUGCUCUCGCUCCUGCAG
rnacentral:lncRNA from 1 species